rnacentral:rRNA from 1 species
AGCUCCAAUAGCGUAUAUUAAAGUUGUUGUGGUUAAAAAGCUCGUAGUUGGAUCUCAACAGACUUGGAUCGGUUUACUUUGUGUAAUACUGAUCCAAAGCUGUGCUUUUGUCAGAGGUUUAGCGGUGCUCUUAACCGAGUGUCGCUGAGUGCUGACAGGUUUACUUUGAAAAAAUCAGAAAGCUUAAACUAGGCUCUUAUGCUUGAAUGUUUGUGCAUGGAAUAAUAGAAUAGGAUGUUGAUCUUAUUUUGUUGGUUUUCGAGACUUGACAUAAUGAUUAAUAGGGACAGUCGGGGGCAUUUGUAUUCAAACGACAGAGGUGAAAUUCUUGGACCGUUUGAAGACAAACUACUGCGAAAGCAUUUGCCAAGAAUGUUUUCA